rnacentral:rRNA from 1 species
GACGAACGCUGGCGGCGCGCCUAACACAUGCAAGUCGAACGGUGAAGAGGAGCUUGCUCCUCGGAUCAGUGGCGGACGGGUGAGUAACACGUGAGCAACCUGCCUUUCAGUGGGGGACAACAGUUGGAAACGACUGCUAAUACCGCAUAACGUGCCGGAGGGGCAUCCUUUUGGUACCAAAGAUUUAUCGCUGGAAGAUGGGCUCGCGUCUGAUUAGAUAGUUGGUGAGGUAACGGCUCACCAAGUCGACGAUCAGUAGCCGGACUGAGAGGUUGAUCGGCCACAUUGGGACUGAGACACGGCCCAGACUCCUACGGGAGGCAGCAGUGGGGAAUAUUGGACAAUGGGGGAAACCCUUAUCCAGCGACGCCGCGUGAGGGAAGAAGGUUUUCGGAUUGUAAACCUCUGUCAGUGGGGACGAUAAUGACGGUACCCACGGAGGAAGCCACGGCUAACUACGUGCCAGCCGCCGCCGUAAAAC